UGGGGAAUAUUGCACAAUGGGCGCAAGCCUGAUGCAGCCAUGCCGCGUGUGUGAAGAAGGCCUUCGGGUUGUAAAGCACUUUCAGCGAGGAGGAAGGUGGUGGACUUAAUACGUUCAUCAAUUGACGUUACUCGCAGAAGAAGCACCGGCUAACUCCGUGCCAGCAGCCGCGGUAAUACGGAGGGUGCAAGCGUUAAUCGGAAUUACUGGGCGUAAAGCGCACGCAGGCGGUUUGUUAAGUCAGAUGUGAAAUCCCCGGGCUCAACCUGGGAACUGCAUUUGAAACUGGCAAGCUAGAGUCUCGUAGAGGGGGGUAGAAUUCCAGGUGUAGCGGUGAAAUGCGUAGAGAUCUGGAGGAAUACCGGUGGCGAAGGCGGCCCCCCUGGACGAAGACUGACGCUCAGGUGCGAAAAGCGUGGGGAGCAAAACAGGAUUAGAUACCCUGGUAGUCCACGCUGUAAAACGAUGUCGAUUUGGAGGUUGUGCCCUUGAGGCGUGGCUUCCGGAGCUAACGCGUUAAAUCGACCGCCUGGGGAGUACGG
rnacentral:rRNA from 1 species